rnacentral:rRNA from 1 species
UGAGCAGCAACGCCGCGUGAGGGACGACGGCCUUCGGGUUGUAAACCUCUUUUAGCAGGGAAGAAGCGAAAGUGACGGUACCUGCAGAAAAAGCGCCGGCUAACUACGUGCCAGCAGCCGCGGUAAUACGUAGGGCGCAAGGGUUAUCCGGAAUUAUUGGGCGUAAAGAGCUCGUAGGCGGUCUGUCGCGUCUGCUGUGAAAACCCGAGGCUCAACCUCGGGCCUGCAGUGGGUACGGGCAGACUAGAGUGCGGUAGGGGAGAUUGGAAUUCCUGGUGUAGCGGUGGAAUGCGCAGAUAUCAGGAGGAACACCGAUGGCGAAGGCAGAUCUCUGGGCCGUAACUGACGCUGAGGAGCGAAAGGGUGGGGAGCAAACAGGCUUAGAUACCCUGGUAGUCCACCCCGUAAACGUUGGGAACUAGUUGUGGGGACCAUUCCACGGUCUCCGUGACGUAGCUAACGCAUUAAGUUCCCCGCCUGGGGAGUACGGCCGCAAGGCUAAAACUCAAAGGAAUUGACGG